rnacentral:rRNA from 1 species
CAAUAGCGUAUAUUAAAGUUGUUGCAGUUAAAAAGCUCGUAGUUGGAUUUGUGGCGUACGGUGUGUUCCGGGCACUUGUUGUCUGAGUAACCUGCUGUUGCCAUCCUUGGGUGAAACCUGUGUGGCAUUAGGUUGUCGUGCAGGGGAUGCCCAUCAUUUACUGUGAAAAAAUUAGAGUGUUCAAAGCAGGCUUAUGCCGUUGAAUAUAUUAGCAUGGAAUAAUGAGAUAGGACUUUUUUGCUAUUUUGUUGGUUUGCGCAAAGAGGUAAUGAUUAAUAGGGACAGUUGGGGGUAUUCGUAUUCCAUUGUCAGAGGUGAAAUUCUUGGAUUUUUGGAAGACGAACUACCGCGAAAGCAUUUACCAAGGAUGUUUUCAUUAA